GACGAACGCUGGCGGCGUGCUUAACACAUGCAAGUCGAACGGAAAGGCCCUGCUUUUGUGGGGUGCUCGAGUGGCGAACGUGUGAGUAACACGUGAGUAACCUGCCCUUGACUUUGGGAUAACUUCAGGAAACUGGGGCCAAUUCCGGAUCGGCGCUCCUGCUGCAUUGUGGGGGUUGGAAAGUUUCGGCGGUUGGGGAUGGACUCGCGGCUUAUCAGCUUGUUGGUGGGGUCGUGGCUUACCAAGGCUUUGACGGGUAGCCGGCCUGAGAGGGUGACCGGCCACAUUGGGACUGAGAUACGGCCCAGACUCCUACGGGAGGCAGCAGUGGGGAAUAUUGCACAAUGGGCGGAAGCCUGAUGCAGCAACGCCGCGUGCGGGAUGACGGCCUUCGGGUUGUAAACCGCUUUCGCCUGUGACGAAGCGUGAGUGACGGUAAUGGGUAAAGAAGCACCGGCUAACUACGUG
rnacentral:rRNA from 1 species